AUUGAACGCUGGCGGCAGGCUUAACACAUGCAAGUCGAGCGGGGUGAUGGUGCUUGCACUAUCACUUAGCGGCGGACGGGUGAGUAAUGCUUAGGAAUCUGCCUAUUAGUGGGGGACAACAUCUCGAAAGGGAUGCUAAUACCGCAUACGUCCUACGGGAGAGAGCAGGGGAUCACUUGUGACCUUGCGCUAAUAGAUGAGCCUAAGUCGGAUUAGCUAGUUGGUGGGGUAAAGGCCCACCAAGGCGACGAUCUGUAGCGGGUCUGAGAGGAUGAUCCGCCACACUGGGACUGAGACACGGCCCAGACUCCUACGGGAGGCAGCAGUAGGGAAUAUUGGACAAUGGGGGGAACCCUGAUCCAGCCAUGCCGCGUGUGUGAAGAAGGCCUUAUGGUUGUAAAGCACUUUAAGCGAGGAGGAGGCUCUUUUGGUUAAUACCCAAGAUGAGUGGACGUUACUCGCAGAAUAAGCACCGGCUAACUCUGUGCCAGCCGCCGCCGUAA
rnacentral:rRNA from 1 species